rnacentral:lncRNA from 10 species
CUUUGUUUAACAUUCCAAAGGCGUUCCCAGUGUCCCCCAGAGUCCUCAUUAAUUACCUGGAGAAUUACCAAGGGGUUCUUGGACAGGAUGAGAGCCUCCUUCCACUGCAACUCACCACCCCUCAUGACACUUGGAUGACGAAAAACAGCACUUGAUGAGGUGAGAAGAGGAAUGGAGCCAGGACACGGAAGCAGAAGGGCAUUGACCUGUGAGAUUUCCAAUGCACAGACAUGGCUUGCUCUUUCUCAAGCAGAGGCAAAGGAUGUCGGUGCUAUUGACAGUCCUGGGCAUGAAUCUUUCGGACUGCAAAUGCCCGCUGAAUAUGGACUCCAACGGUGCCCUAGGGGAUGGUGGAGCCACCAGAUGGAAGGAGCCUGGUGAUCCCGAGAAGGAGAGAUGCCUCGCUGACCUGAACAUCUUUCCAGAACUGUUAAAUGAAGCCUGCAGGACACCAGCUGACAGUGGAAGGACUGAGGAAGGUUGUAUAAUUUUGUGCAAGGUCCACCACAAAUCCAGCUGAAGAACUGCUCCAAAGUUUAGGUCAUGGCAAGAACAAGACUGGAUCACUCCAUGUCAGUGGAAACAUGUCCACCAACUUCAUCAUUGUCUGUUGUCAUGGUUCACUUUAGAUGUAAACUUGACUGGAUUAAGGAUUCCCUAAAGUGUCAGGCCUCUGAGCCCAAGCUAAGCCAUCAUAUCCCCUGUGACCUGCAUGUACACAUCCAGAUGGCCGGUUCCUGCCUUAACUGACGACAUUCCACCACAAAAGAAGUGAAAAUGGCCUGUUCCUGCCUUAACUGAUGACAUUAUCUUGUGAAAUUCCUUCUCCUGGCUCAUCCUGGCUCCAAAGCUCCCCCACUGAGCACCUUGUGACCCCCACUCCUGCCCACCAGAGAACAACCCCCUUUGACUGUAAUUUUCCUUUACCUUCCCAAAUCUUAUAAAAUGGCCCCACCCCAUCUCCCUUUGCUGACUUUCUUUUCAGACUCAGCCCUCCUGCAACCAGUUGAUUAAAAGCUUUAUUGCUC